GACGAACGCUGGCGGCGUGCUUAACACAUGCAAGUCGAACGGAAAGGCCCUGCUUUUGUGGGGUGCUCGAGUGGCGAACGGGUGAGUAACACGUGAGUAACCUGCCCUUGACUUUGGGAUAACUUCAGGAAACUGGGGCUAAUACCGGAUAGGAGCUCCUGCUGCAUGGUGGGGGUUGGAAAGUUUCGGCGGUUGGGGAUGGACUCGCGGCUUAUCAGCUUGUUGGUGGGGUAGUGGCUUACCAAGGCUUUGACGGGUAGCCGGCCUGAGAGGGUGACCGGCCACAUUGGGACUGAGAUACGGCCCAGACUCCUACGGGAGGCAGCAGUGGGGAAUAUUGCACAAUGGGCGGAAGCCUGAUGCAGCAACGCCGCGUGCGGGAUGACGGCCUACGGGUUGUAAACCGCUUUCGCCUGUGACGAAGCGUGAGUGACGGUAAUGGGUAAAGAAGCACCGGCUAACUGCGUG
rnacentral:rRNA from 1 species